GCCGUGGACUACCUGUGGACAUAACGGCACCGAUGACGCCUUGAGGAAGCUCUGACCUGCAUCGUCUUGAUGUCUUCACCCGGCCUCCGGAGCCGUGUGCGCAGGUUCGAAUCCUGCCGGGGGCA
rnacentral:tRNA from 1 species